GACCCUAUAGCUCAGUCGGUAGAGCAUCCUAGAUAUUAUGAGAAGGUCCUAGGUUCAAAUCCUAGUGUCAUCA
rnacentral:tRNA from 1 species